UAAGCACCUGCUACUCUUUGGCUAAGAUCAAGUAUGGAAUCAUAUCUGUUGUUAUCAGUUUAAUAUCUGAUACACCUUCCAUGGGAUGACAAUAUACUAAAUGGAAUUUUGGAGCAGGGAGAUGGAAUAGGAGCUUGCUCUAUCCACUCCACACAUCACCCUGAUACUUCAGUAUCCCCAGGAAUGAUGUACUCUUU
ensembl:snRNA U2 U2 spliceosomal RNA